rnacentral:tRNA from 1 species
GGAUUGUGGCUCAGUAGUAGAGCGCUCGUCUAGCACAUGUGAGGCCCUUGGUUCGAUCCUCAGCACCA